CCCAUUGUGUGCCAGUUGCCAUGGAGCUCAACUCAGGCUUGUUCUGUGAAGCCGGAACCCUUGGUGAUGGAGCCUCCGGGGAAUGAGCUGGUGCUGUGGCGCCCUCUGGUGUCCACGUGGCUUCCGCCAGGACUUGCAAGAGGCUGCGCAGAAGGCGCAAAGGAAGAUUUUUAAAAACAUCUGUCCAACUUUCCUUCCUCCUGCAAAAAGAAUGCUGCAGGUAGUGUGAGAGGUCUCAUGCCUGUCUCAUGCGCAAUAGUAUGAGUGAUAAGAUCGGCCUUUCAUGAGAAGAUAACGCAGCAAGCAUAACCCAAAUGGUGGGUCCCGGCCAGGGGGAUCUCUUCUCAGAACAGGUCUACGAAAGCCCAGGUUUGCUUUAGCUGUUUCUUUGCUAAAGCCAAACCCAGCUCUGCUUUCUCGAACAACCUGAGCCCGAAGGUCUUUACUCUACUCUGCUCUGUGUCUGCCAAGGACAAGAAAGAAGGAGAAAGGAUGCUGGGUCCGGAGAACGACUCCUUAGGAACGAGAAGAGAGAGGGACUAACAUAUACUUCCAGGACCCUGGUCCUGCCUCUGUGACCCGUCCUGCACUUUGAUCUCCUGGCGCUCCUCAGACUGGGCGGCUCCAGCUGUUUGACUCUGCAACUGACAUCGGUCAUACGCGCUCUGCUUUCACUCGGAGGCCGGGAUCUAGUCCCCAGCACUGGUCUCAUAACAGAUCACUGGAAGGAAGAAGCAUAGCCUGAUCACCCAGCCUGAUUGAGGAUGAAAUGGAAAUCUAGGGGUCAGAAGAAAAUGGGAAAGGAACCAUCAGCCUCAGUCAUUUCAACAGAGCCAACCCACAGACCAUGACCAAGCAAAUCUUGCCAUCGUGAUCAUGACCAGUUAGCAUUUAGAAUGUAUCGCUGUAUGCUUUGAUGAUUUUGAUGCUGCCUUUUUGGAUUUACCCUAUAAGAAAGACUCCCUGAACUCCAACACUAUCUCCAGCAUUAUUCACAUUUUCAGGCAGUGUGGUCCCCCAGCUAACAGCAUUAGCACCAGCUCAGAGCUUGCUAGAAAUGCAAAUGCUUAGACCUACUGAGUCAGGAAUUUGGGGCACGGGCCCAGCAAUCUGUGUUUUACAAAACCUCCCAGGUAAGCGAUAUAUGCUAGGACCCUUACAAGGGAAAACAGAGGGGAUCCAGUAUGUGCUGUGUACCUUCCUUGGCGUUUUCUUGUAUAUGAUUAUAUAGGUGGGGUCAGUUUGAGUGGUUGGUGAUCUGAGAUGAUGCUGAGCUUCAAAGAGGAAGACCUAUUGGACAGCUUUCCAUGUAUUUGCAGAUGAAGUGCCACCAUUUUGUUUGAAAUGAGUUUAUGUAUAAUACAUAUACAUUAUAUUUAAACAAGAAUACGUGUUACUAAGUAAAGUAUAAAAACCAAACAUACUCCUACCAUGUGAUCCAGCAAUUGUAUUCCUUAGUAUCUAUCCCCAAAGAAUUGACGACAUCGCUGGAUGUGAUGGCUCAUGCCUGUAAUCUCAGCACUUUGGGUGGCUGACGGGGGUGGAUCAUGAGGUCAGGAGAUCAAGACCAUCCUG
rnacentral:lncRNA from 10 species